CUCAGCUGCGGGAGGGGGCGUGUCUGGGAACCGUCCGGUGACCUCACUGCUCCCCGCCAUGCUUGGGGAUCAAGACCAGUUAAUACUGCUGACUUCGAGACUCCAGGUGCCAAAACUUUCACUGUGAAAAUGCCAGGACCAGGUCCCCACAGCCUAGCCCACAAACUGUCACUGUCCUCGGAAGGAAACAAAGAGAAGAGAUACACCCAAGACUAAGAAAUAGCCAGCGACCGGCUCCCACCGCUCCCCAGGAGCCAUAGCUAAGAUAUAUUAGUGUGACCAUUGUUUUUAGUGGAAGAUGAUUGAAAGUGAACACUUUAAUCGAGGUGAAAUCAUUAAAGAACUGUGUUUGUGCAAUGGUUUAUCUUAUGAGAUGGUUGGACAAGAAGGAUCAGAUACUUCAAAACUGGAGAUGUUCUUUUCAGGGUAUCCCCGAAUAGUUGGAUUAUCACUGUUUCAUAAUUUAUCAAGUCUUACAAUUGUUGCUCAAGAUAUAAAGGAAAUUUCAGGGCUAGAGACUUGCUUACGGCUUAAGGAACUUUGGAUUGCUGAGUGCUGCAUAGAGAAAAUUGAAGGCCUUCACGGAUGUAGAAAUUUGGAAAAAUUAUAUUUAUAUUACAAUAAAAUUUCCAAAAUAGAAAAUUUAGAGAAGUUAAUAAAAUUGGAAGUUCUGUGGCUGAACCACAACACGAUAAGAAAUAUUGAGGGCUUGCAGACUUUGAAGAAUCUAAAAGACCUCAACCUUGCGGGGAACCUAAUAAGCAGCAUUGGUCGAUGUCUCGAUCCCAAUGAACAACUGGAAAAACUAAACCUUUCUGGAAAUCAAAUUACUUCUUUCAAGGACCUUACUAACUUGACCAAGCUCCCUCGCUUAAAGGAUUUAUCUCUGAAUGACCCUCAGUAUAAAUCAAAUCCAGUGUGUCAGCUGUGUAACUACUCCACCCACGUGUUGUAUCACCUGCCUUCUCUUCAACGACUUGACACGUUUGACGUAUCAGCAAAGCAAAUCAAGGAGCUGGCAGAUUCAACAGCAAUGAAAAAAAUAAUGUAUUAUAACAUGAGAAUAAAAACUGUUCAGAGACAUCUGAAUGAAGAACUUGAAAAACUGAAUGACAGGAAAUGCAAGUUACAGAAGCUACCGGAAGAACGGAUAAAAUUAUUCAACUUUGCAAAGAAAACAUUAGAACGGGAACUGGCUGAACUCAAGAUCUCUGGCAAAGGGCAGAGUGAUACUGCACCAGAGGCCGAGAAAGCCCGGAAUAGUGAGACUCUCACACAGGAAUCGGUUCUGCAGCAGAAGAUACUGACCAAGCUGAAUGCCCUGGACGACAGAGUCAUGUUCUGGAACAAGAAGCUACAUGAAAUUGAAGCAAUUUAUCGUACUGAAGUAAAACAGAAGAAGAAGAGCCAUGGCUUACUGACCCCAUUUCUGCUCACGGAGCUGGAGACCGUGGGGAACAUCCAUUUUGAGGAAGGCACUCGAGCUGAUGAAUGGUUUAAUUCCUGCUAUGAACUAAUUCUCUCACGUUUCUGCACCUGGGACUUCAGAGCAUACGGCAUCACAGGGGUGAAAGUCAAGCGUGUCAUUAAAGUCAACAACCGUAUUCUGAGACUGAGAUUUGAAGAGAAAUUCCAAAAGUGUUUGGAUCUAGAGGACAUACAAGAUUCAGAGAGCUAUCGAAAGAUGCUGGAAUGCCUCUUCUACGUCUUUGAUCCUGAAGUGACAGUAAAGAAAAAGCAUCUGCUACAAAUACUUGAGAGGGGAUUCAAAGACAGCGACACAAGCAAGCCCCCUCUUAGAAAGGAAGCUGUUACCCUUGUGAACAGCCUCAGUAUGUGUGAGUGCCCCCGAAUCGAGUUCCUCCAGCAGAAGUAUAAAGAGGAGAAGAAAAGCCCAUCAGAGAGCGACCUCUACAGACACGGCACCAUCCUCAUUGCGAAGGUUUUUCUUGGCCAGAGUAUUCAGGCUCGUGACCAGGAACCCAUCAGUAAAGCCAACUACCCCAUGGUUAACUCGGUGUUUGUUCCUCAGAGACACAUGCUAAGACAAAGAACUUGUGAUUGUGGAUAUCGGCAGUACAAAUGGUUUGUCUUUGACCACGACCUGGUUUUGCCAGAGUACAUCGUUGAGUUUGAGUAUACUACAGUGGUCAAAGUCCACUCUUUAUUUUCCACAUUAAACAAUGUUAUUCUAGAAGAAGGCAAAAAGUAUUCUGAAGGAUUAGUAUUCUCGCAGGAUUUGAAGUUUGACGAUGAAGUUCUGAAGAUGGAGCCCAGGAUUAAGCCCCGCCCAAAACUCAUUAGUUUGGAUGAGAAGACAAUAAUUUCCCUUGCUAGGACUAAUAUUUAUAGCCAUAUUGUGAAUCUGAAUCUACAUGGGAAUAGCUUGAGUAAACUGAGAGAUCUUUCCAAGUUAACUGGGCUUCGAAAACUGAACAUUAGCUUUAACGAGUUUACUUGCUUAGAUGAUGUCUACCACUUGUACAACCUAGAGUAUCUGGACGCCAGCCAUAACCAUGUGAUAACCCUGGAGGGCUUCCGAGGCCUGAUGAAGCUGAAGCAUUUAGACUUGAGCUGGAAUCAGCUCAAGAAGACAGGCGAAGAGAUCAACGUGCUGUGCAAACACACCACCAGCCUCCUCACCCUGGACAUCCAGCACAACCCCUGGCAGAAGCCAGCCACAUUGAGGCUGAGUGUUAUUGGCAGACUAAAGACUCUUACGCACUUAGACGGACUCCUCAUCUCUGAAGAAGAAACCAGAGCAGCUCUGAAAUUCAUUAGUGGAACAAAGAUUACUCAGUUAACUCUCUUACAGCAUUCUAGCUCUAAAGAGGAAAGACCUCGGAUGCUCAGUAUAUGGCCUUCUGCCAAAAUUCUGACCCAGAUUUCAAAGUUAGGACCCCACUUUCAUCUGACUGGGAACUGGUACUUGAAGAUAACUGCCUUAAAUUUAGAUGGACAACAUCUCUUUGAAAUCACAAAUCUAGAAAAAUUGGAGAAUUUGAAAUGGGCAUCGUUCAGCAAUAAUAACCUCUCCAAAAUGGAAGGCCUUGAGUCCUGUGUCAACCUGGAGGAGCUCACAUUAGAUGGCAACUGCAUCUCAAAGAUAGAAGGCAUCACCAGGCUGACCAAACUAAGCCGCCUCAGCAUGAACAACAACCUUCUCACCGGCCUGGAGAAGCACACGUUUGAUAACAUGCUUCAUCUCCACUCCCUCUCUCUCGAGAACAACAGGAUCACAUCACUGAGCGCUUUACAAAAGACAUUCACUCUGAUCGAGUUGUACAUAAGCAAUAACUACAUAGCCGUGAACCAAGAGAUCUACAACUUAAAGGGUUUAUGCAACUUGGUCAUUCUAGACAUGUAUGGAAACAUUAUUAUAUGGAACCAAGAAAACUACCGGCUGUUUGUAAUAUUUCAUCUUUCUGAACUGAAGGCCUUGGAUGGAAUGUCAAUUGAACCAUCAGAGACUGAGAAUGCAAAAGAUUUGUUUGGUGGUCGUCUCACCUCUGACAUGAUUGCUGAACGACAAGGACACUCAAACUUUGUCCAAAUGCAAGAGCUAAACUGGACCUCCUCAUCCAUCAGGACUGUGGAUCUGAUUCCUGUUGACCACUUCAGGAAUGUGAGCAAUGUGAAUCUCCAGAACAACAACCUCACGUCAUUCAGUGGCCUCAUCUACCUGCCCAAUGUGAAGGUCUUAUGCCUCAACUAUAAUCACAUUGAAUCAAUCAUGCCUAGACUAAAGCCUCAGACUCACUUAAGCAGCAGACAGAUGCUCUACCAGAAAGUGCCCUCAAGUGGCUAUGGACAGCAAGGAAGCUCAAAACUAAAUAGAGACUCAGUAAGCAGCGAGAACUUGCCCCCAAUAAUGCAGAGUUUAGAGGUUCUUCAUCUGGGAUACAAUGGAAUUUGUAACUUAGUCCAGCUGCAACUUAACAGACUAAGAAACUUAAAGCUCCUCUUUCUACAGGGAAACGAGAUCAGUCAGGUAGAAGGGCUGGACAACCUCAUCGUCCUCCAGGAGCUGGUUGUCGACCAUAACCGCAUCCGGGCAUUCAGUGACACUGCGUUUGCCAAGCCAAGUUCCCUGCUGACUCUUCAUCUGGAGGAAAACAGGCUCCGAGAGCUGAGCAAACUGCAGUCUUUGAUCAAACUGGAGAAACUCUUCCUAGGCUAUAACAAAAUCCAGGAUAUCACAGAACUGGAAAAACUUGAUGUUAUUCCUUCUCUCAGAGAGCUUACUGUCUAUGGCAAUCCACAAUUAUCAAGACAUAGUCAACUACCCUUAUGAACCAAGGAAUGAUAAGAACAUCCCCAAGUCCAAGUACCAAACUCCAGCAAAGACCCAUCCUUGCAAGCAGAACCUUCUAAAAAUUUGUAGAAAAAUGGUCCAUCGACAUGUGCUCAUAUUCCGCCUGCCUAAUUUACAGAUGUUGGAUGGAAUUCCUAUAAAUUCUGAUGAUAGGGCAAAAGCUGAAUUUCAUUUC